GUUGGCAAUGGAAGCAAGGGUAUCUUACUGGAGAUCCCUGUAUACCUGUAGCCUUCAAAAGGUAGAAGACUUGGGUUCACCUGCAGAGAGAGACCGCAUGCUUAGGCACUACUGUGGACCUCCUCGAGACUCCUUUUCCCCAGGGAGAACAACAAAGCUUACCAGUUGCUACUGCAAUGGUAUAAGUUCCUUCUUUCAUAAAAGACACCCAGAUGCAUAUGGACACUUGGAAAAUAGCUAACUUCAAAGCUGAUGGAGUGGUCAUGGAUGAAGCAAACCAGUGAAAUGAUGAGUGCUAGGAAAUCGUACACCUUCAAGAUCAGGGAGGGCUCUACGCCAUGGAGAAAAUUGACAAGAACUUUGCAGCUGUGGAUAAAUAUUUCUACAAUGUUUUCAACGCAAUCCUUUUAUAUGAGAUGAAGAGUUCAGGCCUUUCAGAAUAAUGGACUAAGAACAUGCAUUAACAGUCCCUCAUUGCCCAUGGGUAACUCAGGUGACCAAGGUCAAACUCCACUGACCCUGGGCAGGACAGGAGCAUGGUGUGGAGUGAAGAGCAAGACAAAGUUUCACAGGACAAGUGAUGGCCAACUGAAGUUUCUCUUUUUGUGCUUUACAGACCUGACAGCUGCAUCUCUUUGAACUGUGGCAAGGCAGAGCAGAGCAGUUCCUCCAGCUGAGGCUACAGGGGCUCUGCUAUGUGGGACUUGUAGAGCUUCUCACCCUCAUUCUUCUUGUUCUCUGCAUCAAGGUAAAUAGUUGCCUUCUAAUUUAUUCUCAUAGACAGUUUUUUUUGUUGUUGUUGUCUUUUUUUUCUUUUUUCCUUCAGGAAUAUGUAGCAGUGGAAUUAGGUAACAGGUCUAUCAAAUAAUCCUUUACUCCUGUGUACUAUCUCACAAGUAAAUGAAACUAACCUACUGCUUGAUGAAAUCGCCUUAUACAAGAUAAAGACAGCAGUUGAG
ensembl:lncRNA